AAUAUCUGUGGGCCAUUACUGAAGCUGAACUACUUAAAGAUACGUCACUGUGUCAAUAUGGAAAAACUUGGGAUUUCCGCAGAAAAUCUCGUCAUUUAAACAUAGAGGGCAGAAGAUAAGGCUUCUUUUUAAGCACGUACCUUGUCUUGCCGAGCUAUUAUUUAGUGGAGAUUUUUCGGUCCUAUCUAAUUAAUAAUCUCCGUGGGCAUUCAAGCUGUUCCAUGAAAUUUGGGCACAAUUUUCCUCAAACAUUCCAGAAUUAGGUAACCUCAAGUAUUUGGAACCUCGUGGGCAAUCUACAAUCUACAAAGCCUCCUUUCUUGCAUUUUCCUAUUAGAUGCAGCUCCCAUGUUGCAUAAAUUUACACUGAAGAGAAAAGCCAUUGACUUGCAAAUUGGAGCUCAAAGCUUCAUGGAGAGAGUUGGAUCAACAGAGCUUGUGGUUGCAAGGCCGCUUUGGAGAUCAAGCUUCUUGAGCUCGUGGUGGGCUCAACUAUAGGUAUAAGCUUGGGUGAGACUUUGUAAAUCCUUAUCAAGUCUUGUAACUGUUUGAUUCAAUGAUCUAGUGAACAUUGGUGUUGGGAUUGUGGUUUUCAUCCUGUGAGAUAUUUGUCUCAUAAGGUUUCCAAGUUAAUCUUGCGUCUUGUCCCUUGUUUAAUGCUUUCAAUUGAUCUAUUGAUGAUUGAAAUUGAUAUAGUUGAUCUAUAUUGUUAAUAUUGGGAUUGUUGAUUUCAGAAAGCAUGAAGUUGAUUGAUGUAUUGAAUUCGUUGAUCCAUUUUGUUAGAGCUUAUCUUGUAAGAUAAACUUAACAAUGGCUAAAUGAUCGGAAUUCCCGUGAGGGUAUUUAUUACGCAAGAUGGAAUCAACAAUCCGGAAGCAAAAUUGUGUCUAUAUAUGCUGGUUAUUCAAUGGUUCUAAAAACAAUGUAUAUCAAGAACACAUCCUGCCGUUGUAUUUAUAAACACAAUGGCAGCCAUUGCCAAAGGUCACAACCUUUGGAUACAAAAACUAACAGCCACAAUUGUCAUGAAGCAAUGUGUCCAUUGUGUUCAAAUUCAAAUACUUAACUUUUGAUCAAGUAUGGAGAGACACACCACAUUGCGGUGUGGUCACACUUAAUCUAACAUAUCUAAGUUUCAAUGACCAUUUAUCUUUAUGGUAAAACAUGCUAUGCAUUAGGAACCUUAAAAGUAUUUGUACUUACAAUGCUUUAUGGAAUGCCAUCAUGCAGCACGGCUAAUUCUUUCUUAUGUAUUGUAAUUGAUACUCUAUGAUAUUUGACUCAUGUACGGCUUAUCAUUCACAACUAGUUCUUUGAUAGUGGAACUUGCUGUGGUAUUGUUGUUCUCAAAUUAAAUUGAGACUUUACUUUCCAUUAGUCUUUGCUCUUGUAUUUUAUGUUUGUUAUUGGUAUUGUUUGUUUGCCCUUGGUAAAUCACUUGCAAUCUUUGAAUCAAACACAACCUAAAUCUCAUUGUUUUUUGUCCAUUCUGAAAUGGAGUCUUAAGAGCUGAACAAGAUAGCCACUUCCCCAAGUUAUUUUUGACAGCAUAUGCACAUGGAGAAUUGAAGUUGUUCCAUCUGCAUUUCAUAAUACCAGUCAGUUGUGAAAAUGAAUAACUUUCAUUCAACCAACUGGGACUAGCUUGGUUAGAACCCUUGCAUGUCAGUAGGUCAUGAGUUGGACUCUUGUCACGUGCGAUAAUUUUUACCUCUCUAGGCUAUGACACCUGAUGUACCCUAAAAAAGAAGAAAAUAAACUUCCUUCCAAUCCAUUGACCUCUCAUUAGAAGUUUUCUUUUCGGUUCUUUUCCCAGAAUUGUGCAGAAGAAUCAAUUUCCCCCAUGCAAGAGUUUUCAGCACGUUGCGCGGUGGAGUAUUUAAGACACAUGCAGAAUAAAGUUCCAAAGAAAUAUCACUACCUGAAGGUGGUGGAAGUGGUAGGGUUUGCUGGGUCCACAGUUGUUGAGUUCAUCACAUGCGUACUUGAGUAUGUUGUGUCACUCGACAAGUUCAUCCUAAAUCCUCAUUGUCCAUGGAAUGGAGAACUGCCAUCCCAGUAUGAUGACAACUUCAUUCCGAUGCAGCAAUUAGCAAGGGAGAGCACUAUGAAGAUGGCAGCAAAACUACCACCAGGGGUCAAAUUUGUGGUUAUUAGUCUUAGUCCUAUAUUCCCAUAGAUUUUGUGAACCUCUGGACAGUGGUGGCAUGCAUGAUGCACUACUUUCUAACUGCUUUUGUUUUCUUUUUAUUUAUUGGAUUUCACCUUUUAAGCUUUUUAAACUGUUUGAUAGAAAGUUAUUGUAGAAAAUUAAUGGUGCUUGUUGGGACUAUAGUUUGUGAAUUUCU